GAUUGAUACCUGACAUUUCGAAACUUGAUGAUUAGAUUUUCUGUCUUAAGACGCCCAGAAACUGCACCAGGCAUCGGAGAAAAUGGGGAAGGCCUACAGCUUUGGAUAAAAGAAACCAUCAAACUUACAUUCUCCAAAAGGCAUUACUAGAGGACGGUUGCUCGACGCAUGGUGAGCGCUAACCAUUGGUUAAAGAAGAAUCGAAGCCCAUUCGUUUCUAUGGUAGUCAACGCUGCUUAGUGCUAACCUUGCUUCGCCCAACUUGGGCCAGGCGUCAAAUAGGGAAGCAUAGUUUGUCGAACAAAACCGAAGACGUGCUCGGAAAAAAAGGAACUGAGUGGCGUGUUCGUAAAUGAAAGGGCGCAUAAUUGAAAAUCACCAACUGAUCGAUUAACAUUUAGUGACAAAUUUUCAAUGUAUGAUCCAAGCAAUUAUGAGCAGCCCAGAAAAUUUAGACCUGAAUUUUCAGGCCUUUCUCGCUACUACUGAAGUAGUACUCAUAACUGCGAUGGUCCUACAAGGAAAAUUCAUUUCAACCUGCA